rnacentral:lncRNA from 1 species
AUUAAUAGUAAUAGUGGUAGUAUUUGGCACUGGCAGUUGAAUCCAGGAAACUUUACCACUAAGCUAUAUCCCCUUCCCUUUUCAUUUUUUAUUUUGAGAUGGGGUCUUACUAAGUUACUUAGGGUCUCACUAAAUUGCUGAGGCUGGCCUUGAACUUGCAAUCCUACUGCCUCAACCUCCCAAGUCUCUGGUAUUACAGGUGUGUGUCACCAUAACAGUUGUUCAUUUAUGUUUUUUAAAAGAUAUUUUGUAUGUUUAAAAGAAAAUUUGAGAAACAUGACAAAAUGCUUCAUUGACUACCUUUCACAAUAAAAUAUGCAACAUAUUGUUUUUCAAGCACACACUGAGGUACUCUAACAACAGAUGCAAAAGCAUAACAGUUAUGAGCAGACAAACCAUAUCCAUAAAGAAAUAGAUCAAGCCAGGUAUAGUGGAGCACACCUGUAAUCCCAGAUACUUGGGAGGUUAUGUAGGAUGAUAACAAGUUUGAGGCCAGACUCAGCAACUGGGAAAUCUUGUCUCAAAAUAAAGCAUAAAAAGGGCUGGGAAUGAUGCUCAGUGGUAGAGCACCCCUGGGUUCCAGCCCCAGUACCAGAGAGAAUAAAGAAAAAAGGCAAAAAUAGGUCACAAAGUGAUAAAUAUAAAAUCACAAAGAGAAGUAAUGUUGUGCACCUAGCUUAAUAAAUGCCAUCAUCAAAUUCAGUGAAAGACACCCUACAUUUUUUGAGGAGACAUCAAAAAACAUGAUAGGUCAACAUCACACAACCAAUUGCUCAAAGAUUGGAGAUUGAGAAAUUUUUAUCUGUCACAAAAGUAGAUACAGAAAGGACAUUUCUUAAUUUACAAAAGAAUUUUCAAUUUUUUAAAUGUAAAGUCACAAUACUUCCACACUAAGUCAACAUUGUAAUAAUGUACUUUUGCAGA